UAGCGACGGCAAUCCUGGCAGUCCCGGUUGCUGACAUAACCCGAAGACGUGUGGGUUGCUAAGUGGGAAGCAGAAGGAGUCCCAGGCCCCUCCAAAGGCCUCCUGGAGGCGAUCCUUCCUUUUGGUCUGAAAUAAGAGGCAGCGGGAAUAAUCCUUAAUGGUUACCGAGUUCAGAAGUCUAUAAACAAGGAAUUAUCUUCCUUUUUUUUUUUUUUUUUCAAAAAAGCCGCAGAUGCUGGAGAUGUAGAACGGUGGACAGAUCUUCAGGUUGUCGUCCAGAACUCUUGAGCAGAUGUGGGAUACGGCCCUUUGGGUGGGAUCUGGGCUCCAGGAACUCAGCUGAGGGUAGAGUCACAGACCCAGCGGGGAGGCUGCUGCUCCUCCCCUGAAACAUCUUGGACUUCUUUGGCAAGGAAGCGGGUCAAGGCAGUUGUGCAGGAGGAGAGAAGAAAAGGGCCUGCCAGUCGGGGCUGUGCCAGCUCCUGCUCCCUGGCUCCCAGUGGAUAUCUGAGUUUGUAGCCAGCCUGUGCCCAGCGUGAUGGAAGCGGUGAUGUAGAGUGUUUUUUUCUAGUCAGCUCAGAUUAAUCGCAAACGUUGCUGGCUCGUCGACAGACCGGAAGUCGCUCCCAUCUUUCUCCAGAGGUUUUCUUCUGCACCACAGCAGGCAGGCUCAGAGUAAGGCAAACAAAUGAUCACUGAAUCCACUGGUUACUUUAAAUGCCUGACAGGCCCAGUGCCCUCUCCCCGGGGUUCUUUUCAUCCUCACUCAGUGUGAGCCAAAGAAAACAUUCAUCCCAAUUGCAUCCUGCCCUGAGAAACUGGAAGAAGCCCUGGAAUUUUCCAGGGGAGAGGCAGAAAGGUGGACCUGAAAGGGCGGGAGAGCCAUGGUUUGCGGAUGGUGACUCUGAUUCCCUGGCUGGGGCUUCAGUCCCUCUGGAGGUUCGAGACUAGCUGCCCUGCCAGGCUUUGACUCCCGGCCCGGGGCUCCGUUCUCAGCCACAGGCUCAGCCUUCUUACUGUUUCCUGGGCGUGCUCAGCAGGCGAAACAAAGCAAGAGUGCAAAGUUAACAUUAACAAGGUUUGCACGCUGUGCGAAUCCAUCUGCUAGCUUAGCCUGAGCUGAGUAAUCAUGCACGUCCUGUGAAACGGAAGGUCGAGAAAAUGCUUUCAGUUUGCGAGUAGCUUCUAGGCCAGAAUGUGAUGCAAGGAAGAGACGUGAACCCCCCCCCCCAUAUUAAUCUGGAAAACCAUGUGCCAGGCUUUACAAACAAUGGCCUUUAUCUGAAUGGUUGUUAAAACACAUUCCUCCUGUUGAAAUCAUCUUUUUGAAGGGUUAUCCAGACCAUGUUUAUUUCAGAGGGAAAGGACAUUAUUUAUUUCAUUCAUGGCUCUCUUUCUCUAGAGUUGUGUACAAAAAAGAAAGAACGUAAACCAGUCUUAAAAGCAUUCUGGCAUGAAUCGAGACAACACGAGCAAAUAAAAAUACUGUGGGCUUCAGUGAGGCAUUUGAU